rnacentral:rRNA from 1 species
AGUGAACGCUGGCGGUAGGCCUGACACAUGCAAGUCGAACGGCAGCACAGGAGAGCUUGCUCUCUGGGUGGCGAGUGGCGGACGGGUGAGGAAUACAUCGGAAUCUACCUUUUCGUGGGGGAUAACGUAGGGAAACUUACGCUAAUACCGCAUACGACCUUCGGGUGAAAGCAGGGGACCUUCGGGCCUUGCGCGGAUAGAUGAGCCGAUGUCGGAUUAGCUAGUUGGCGGGGUAAAGGCCCACCAAGGCGACGAUCCGUAGCUGGUCUGAGAGGAUGAUCAGCCACACUGGAACUGAGACACGGUCCAGACUCCUACGGGAGGCAGCAGUGGGGAAUAUUGGACAAUGGGCGCAAGCCUGAUCCAGCCAUACCGCGUGGGUGAAGAAGGCCUUCGGGUUGUAAAGCCCUUUUGUUGGGAAAGAAAAGCAGCCAGCUAAUACCUGGUUGUUCUGACGGUACCCAAAGAAUAAGCACCGGCUAACUUCGUGCCAGCAGCCGCGGUA